UAGAGUUUGAUCCUGGCUCAGAGUGAACGCUGGCGGUAGGCCUAACACAUGCAAGUCGAACGGCAGCACAGGAGAGCUUGCUCUCUGGGUGGCGAGUGGCGGACGGGUGAGGAAUACAUCGGAAUCUACUUUUUCGUGGGGGAUAACGUAGGGAAACUUACGCUAAUACCGCAUACGACCUACGGGUGAAAGCAGGGGAUCUUCGGACCUUGCGCGAUUGAAUGAGCCGAUGUCGGAUUAGCUAGUUGGCGGGGUAAAGGCCCACCAAGGCGACGAUCCGUAGCUGGUCUGAGAGGAUGAUCAGCCACACUGGAACUGAGACACGGUCCAGACUCCUACGGGAGGCAGCAGUGGGGAAUAUUGGACAAUGGGCGCAAGCCUGAUCCAGCCAUACCGCGUGGGUGAAGAAGGCCUUCGGGUUGUAAAGCCCUUUUGUUGGGAAAGAAAUCCAGCUGGCUAAUACCCGGUUGGGAUGACGGUACCCAAAGAAUAAGCACCGGCUAACUUCGUGCCAGCAGCCGCGGUAAUACGAAGGGUGCAAGCGUUACUCGGAAUUACUGGGCGUAAAGCGUGCGUAGGUGGUCGUUUAAGUCCGUUGUGAAAGCCCUGGGCUCAACCUGGGAACUGCAGUGGAUACUGGGCGACUAGAGUGUGGUAGAGGGUAGCGGAAUUCCUGGUGUAGCAGUGAAAUGCGUAGAGAUCAGGAGGAACAUCCAUGGCGAAGGCAGCUACCUGGACCAACACUGACACUGAGGCACGAAAGCGUG
rnacentral:rRNA from 1 species